UGAAAAAGCUGGGCCAUUUGGGGAUUUGGAGAAUAAAGGUUGUCAGGCUGUGAUUUUAGCGGCGUCCUGAGCUCCUGUGGAGAUUUGCCUCUCUCCAGCCUUGGGCCAUCUGCAUUCCUUAACAUCUCUGGGCCCAGAAGGAAAAGGAGAAUGCUGACCAGCUCUGGGAAUGGUCUGAAUGAGGAGAGCACGGUUCCUGGCGGCGGUGGCCUCGGUCCGCAAACAGCCUUGUCCGCAAUGUGCCCAACACGUUGGAAACCUUCUCUUCCCGCAGCUCAGGAUAGAAAACGCAGUCCCGGGGUGGAGUGUGAGUAUCGUUUCCCCAGGGCUGGGGGAAGGGCUCGGCAGACGGUGAGUCAGGGUUUUGCAAAUGUAUGUUUACGCUGGUG
rnacentral:lncRNA from 1 species